CAUGCAAGUCGAGGGGAAACGACAUCGAAAGCUUGCUUUUGAUGGGCGUCGACCGGCGCACGGGUGAGUAACGCGUAUCCAACCUGCCCACCACUUGGGGAUAACCUUGCGAAAGUAAGACUAAUACCCAAUGACGUCUCUAGAAGACAUCUGAAGGAGAUUAAAGAUUUAUCGGUGAUGGAUGGGGAUGCGUCUGAUUAGCUUGUUGGCGGGGUAACGGCCCACCAAGGCGACGAUCAGUAGGGGUUCUGAGAGGAAGGUCCCCCACAUUGGAACUGAGACACGGUCCAAACUCCUACGGGAGGCAGCAGUGAGGAAUAUUGGUCAAUGGACGAGAGUCUGAACCAGCCAAGUAGCGUGCAGGAUGACGGCCCUAUGGGUUGUAAACUGCUUUUAUAAGGGAAUAAAGUGAGUCUCGUGAGACUUUUUGCAUGUACCUUAUGAAUAAGGACCGGCUAAUUCCGUGCCAGCAGCCGCGGUAAUACGGAAGGUCCGGGCGUUAUCCGGAUUUAUUGGGUUUAAAGGGAGCGUAGGCCGGAGAUUAAGCGUGUUGUGAAAUGUAGACGCUCAACGUCUGCACUGCAGCGCGAACUGGUUUCCUUGAGUACGCACAAAGUGGGCGGAAUUCGUGGUGUAGCGGUGAAAUGCUUAGAUAUCACGAAGAACUCCGAUUGCGAAGGCAGCUCACUGGAGCGCAACUGACGCUGAAGCUCGAAAGUGCGGGUAUCGAACAGGAUUAGAUACCCUGGUAGUCCGCACGGUAAACGAUGGAUGCCCGCUGUUGGUCUGAAUAGGUCAGCGGCCAAGCGAAAGCAUUAAGCAUCCCACCUGGGGAGUACGCCGGCAACGGUGAAACUCAAAGGAAUUGACGGGGGCCCGCACAAGCGGAGGAACAUGUGGUUUAAUUCGAUGAUACGCGAGGAACCUUACCCGGGCUU
rnacentral:rRNA from 1 species